UUAUGAUCCCUUUUUAUAGGUUAGACAUCAGUGAAAUAGCAGUCUUUCAAAUCUUGAUAGCUAACUUUUUGUAGAAAAUAUAUGAUGGGUAGUUUAGCUGGGGCGGCUUCCUCCUAAAAGGUAACGGAGGAGUACACAAGGUAAUUUCUAACUGAUUUUUAUCAGUUUGAGAGUAUAAUGGCUUAAAAAUUACUUUACUGUUAGAUUUACGAAUCGAACAGUGAUUAACGUCAGUCAUAAUGAUCCGGUGACUUUGUGUGGAAAAGUCAUCGCCAACGGAUAAAAGGUACGCCAGGGAUAACAGGCUGAUGACUCUUGAGAGACCAUAUCAAUGGGUAGUUGGCACCUCGAUGUCGACUCAUCGCAUCCUGGAGGUGUAGAAGUUUCCAAGGUUGGGGCUGUUCGCCCACUAAAAGCGG
rnacentral:rRNA from 1 species